rnacentral:miRNA from 1 species
UGCCCUCGAGGACUGGAGUUU